rnacentral:lncRNA from 1 species
UAAACUUGCAAAUUCACUAUGAAAAAAAUAUCCCAAGCAUGAAGGGCAGAAGCAGCACUGAGACAGAGUGAGCUCAGGACAGUUCUGUUUAGGGAACCUGUUUCUGUUCCUAUGGACUCCAUCCAUCCAGCAACCAACAUGCAGAAGGCAAACAGCAAGGUGCUCCUUACUGCUGGUUGUCAAACUGGGAUAUCUGGUUGCUCUUUCCAAAUCGAACUCGUUCUCCUUUACAGUGUGAUACUUCUACGCCUACUGCUCUAAUAGUAACCACCUUUUCUCACUAGGUUUAAAGUUCUCCAACUAAGUCAGACACUGCCACCUGACUUGACAUUGCAAUAAAAUGAUAGUCACUUCAUGGAAGCCACCACUAAAUAUACCAAUUACCAGGACUACAUGAAGAAGGCCGACCUAAAGUCAGCCCAGUCUUUCAACCUGGUCUUCCAUAGUAUACAGCUCCUGGGUUGUUCUGCUUUUUCCAUUUGGUUGUGUUGUGAGUCUGUCGGUUGCUGAUUCUGUAUGAGGUAGUAUAAUUCCUUCUCUCUGUAACUGAGCUUGUAACUGAAAAAAAUGACAAUGCCUAAAAUCGUAUAACAAGAAAAAUGGAAUUUUCACUAUUUUCAUGGUUCAUUAUGUUGAAAAUAAAAAGACCAAAAGUUAAAAACUGAGUUCCUAUUUCAAAGCACUAUCAAUGUCAAACAUCUAAUUGCAAAAUAUUAUAUACAGG